UACAUGAAGCCGGAAUUGCUAGUAAUGGCAGGUCAGCAUACUGCCGUGAAUACGUUCCCGGGCCUUGUACACACCGCCCGUCACACCAUGAGAGUUGGGGAUACCCGAAGCCUGUGAGCCAACUAUAUAGAGGCAGCAGUCGAAGGUAGAAUCAAUGAUUGGGGUGAAGUCGUAACAAGGUACC
rnacentral:rRNA from 1 species